UUUUUUUUUUUUGGUAUAGCAGGACAUGAACCUGCGACCCAGAACGGGAUUUUUCCACUUCACACCCACACAAUCGGGAUUUGGGGUUCGAGAUGUGGCACAUUUUCUGCCAAGUUCCCACUUACCAAAACUUGGCAAACCAUUGUCGAGUGAUCAUCAACACCACAAUCACCAUAUAUAUACAUCACAUGUAUUCCAUAUGUAGAAGUAACAUAACAAGGAGCAUAGAAAGUUCACAAGCAUCAUAUUAGUCACAUAAAGGAAAUUCAUAAGUAGUUCGCCGACAAAACCUCUCGACGCGGAAGAGCAUCUCUGUGGACAUGAGCUCCAGGGUUGUUGCGGGUGAUGAGGGGUAUGCUUCGUCAUAGCCUCCAUAUUUUGUGAGAGCAUCUGCAAUUUCUUUUGUUACCAUUGUACCAAAGAAUUUCAUCGGACAAUGGAGCCCAGCCGAGGCACGUCUACCACCAUCUCCACCGCCGCUGCAUUAUCGUCGCCAUCCACCACCUGCGCUAUUUUCUGCAUUGGCGUCAGCAUCCACCAUCUUGUCGUCAUCCAAAAUGAUGGUUGUGGGCGCCACCGCCUCCACUGCAUCAGCCGCGGGCCCGAACAAGAGACCGAUGCUUGGCACACUAAGAUGUUGUCCGAGAUCGUCCGACUCGUCCUCCUCCAUCACCCACAAGAGGAAAUCGACGGGAACCACACUGACACCAUCGAUAGGGAAAAUGCACUGCCGCUGCGGACCUCACGGCUCGCGACGAGAUUGUUGACAUUGGUGAACUGCGAUGAUAUCUCCAUCAUCUUGGCGAAGUUGAGGUGGUCACUGCACGCGCACCUCAGGAUUAGGGUCGCCCAUCUCGACCCGACGAGGAGGAUCCACAAUAGAGUCGGCAACGGCGGUUGCGGCCGCUGGAGCGGUGGAACGGGCGACUGAGGCACAGCCGUGGACGCUGCCGAGGUAGGGGCGAUGGCAUGGUGGAUGGUGUGUGUGUGUGGCGGGGGGGGCAUAGGUGGCAGCAGCGCGGUGCAGAUGGUGACUGAUACGUCUAAAAUGUAUCUAUAAUUUUAAUUGUUUCAUGUUAUUAUAUUAUCAUUUCUUAUACUUUUUUAAAAAAUAUACUAUUUUGAUGGACUGAUCUAUUAAUUCAGUGACCAGUGCUAGUACCUAUUUUGUUUUUGUUUUUGGCUUCGCAUGAAAUAAAUAUCUACGAAGGUCAAAAUAAGUUGCCGAUUUAACACGAUUCUUUUUGGCACAAGAAACACUAUAAGACUCGGGGGAGAUCGAGACGAGCAGCCAGGGGCCACACGGCCAGGUGGCAUGACCAAGGGGUAGGCUGAGCUCCUGAUACGUCUCCGUUGUAUCUACUUUUCCAAACACUUGUGCCCUUAUUUUGGACUCUAACUUGCAUGAUUUGAAUGGAACUAACCCGGACUGACGCUGUUUUCAGCAGAAUUGCCAUGGUGUUAUUUAUGUGCAGAAACAAAAGUUCUCGAAAUGACCUGAAACUCCACGGAACUUAUUUUUGGAAAAUAUUAAAAAUACUGGAAGAAGAAUCCACGUCAGGGGGGCCUCCACCUGUCCACAAGGGUAGGGGCGCGCAUGCCCCCCUGGGCGCGCCCCCUGCCUCGUGGGCCCCCUGUUGCUCCACCGACCUCAACUCCAACUCCAUAUAUUCGUGUUCGGGGAGAAAAAAAUCAGAGAGAAGGAUUCAUCGCGUUUUACGAUACGGAGCCGCUGCCAAGCCCUAAACUCUCUCGGGAGGGCUGAUCUGGAGUCCGUUCGGGGCUCCGGAGAGGGGAAUCUGUCGCCGUCGUUAUCAUCAACCAUCCUCCAUCACCAAUUUCAUGAUGCUCACCGCCGUGCGUGAGUAAUUCCAUCGUAGGCUUGCUGGACGGUGAUGGGUUGGAUGAGAUUUAUCAUGUAAUCGAGUUAGUUUUGUUAGGUUUUGAUCCCUAGUAUCCACUAUGUUCUGAGAUUGAUGUUGCUAUGACUUUGCUAUGCUUAAUGCUUGUCACUAGGGCCCGAGUGCCAUGAUUUCAGAUCUGAACCUAUUAUGUUUUCAUGAAUAUAUGUGAGUUCUUGAUCCUAUCUUGCAAGUCUAUAGUCACCUACUAUGUGUUACGAUCCGGCAACCCCGAAGUGACAAUAAUCGGGACCACUCCCGGUGAUGACCGUAGUUUGAGGAGUUCAUGUAUUCACUAUGUGUUAAUGCUUUGUUCCGGUACUCUAUUAAAAGGAGGCCUUAAUAUCCCUUAGUUUCCAUUAGGACCCCGCUACCACGGGAGGGUAGGACAAAAGAUGUCAUGCAAGUUCUUUUCCAUAAGCACGUAUGACUAUAUUCGGAAUACAUGCCUACAUUACAUUGAUGAAUUGGAGCUAGUUCUGUGUCACCCUAUAUUAUGACUGUUACAUGAUGAACCGCAUCCGGCAUAAUUCUCCAUCACCGAUCCAAUGCCUAUGAGCUUUUCACAUAUUAUUCUCCGCUUAUUUACUUUUCCGUUGCUACUGUUACAAUCACUACAAAACCCAAAAAUAUUACUUUUGCUACCGUUACCGUUACUUCCAUAUUAUUUUGCUACUAAAUACUUUGCUGCAGAUACUAAGUUAUCCAGGUGUGGCUGAAUUGACACUCAGUUGCUAAUACUUGAGAAUAUUCUUUGGCUCCCCUUGUGUCGAAUCAAUAAAUUUGGGUUGAAUACUCUACCCUCGAAAACUGUUGUGAUCCCCUAUACUUGUGGGUUAUCAUCUCCCUGCCGUGUGAGGCCCCUACUUACCGCCUUGACCUGAUUCCACCACCGUAAAUCCAUAUAAAUGUUGAACUAUUCGUCGUACCUCUAGAAUAAUUUUAUCGCCGUCGCAAGCCAUUAUUCCACAAAGAGGUCUUUUUCGGAGCUCCGUCGGAGGGGAAAGUCAUUGUCGGAGUAUGUCGGAUCACGGGUUCCGGAAAAACCCUUAAGGUUCGAACUCUGGGGUGCGCGCGAAGUUCUCCUCCUACCGAUCCAUGUCCUAGCUUGCUAAGAUCUCGAGGGUUAACUCCACGAACUCACGACACAAGAGACACAAGAUUUAUAUUGGUUCGGGCCACCGUUGUGGUGUAAUACCCUACUCCAGUGUGGUGGUGGUGGAUUGCCUCUUGGGCUAUGAUGACCAGUACAAGGGGAAGAACAGCCUCCUGAGGUUGAGGUGUUCUUGUGCUUGGUGUGCGGCUAAGGCUCAGCUAUAGAUCAGAUGCCCCCUACGGUGGUGGCUAGUCCUACUUAUAUAGGCCCUGGUUCUCUCCCCAAAUAUUGAGCGGGAAGGGAGCCAACAACUGCCAAUUUGAAAGGGGACAGCUAGUACAGCUUAUCCUGACAAAAGCGGUCUUCGCCUGCAAAAGGCUCUGGUGCUGACGCCGCCUUGGGCUCCAUGGUGACCUCCGUUUUGCCGUCCUGCUGGUCUUGGUCUCGUUGCACCGAUAUGGAAACCUUUGCAUGACGCCUCGGUACUCCGCGCCUGCGCUUGCUUCCUUAGCACCAAAGGGGAAACAAGGACACUGCGCGCGCUGGCGCCCGCCUGAUCUCGAUCGUCAUGGCUCACCUCACGAGAACCUCGCGAGGUUUGCCUUGCCUUGAUCUCUCCGCCCCUCGCGAGCCAACCUGGUGAGGCCGCUCCUGAGGCGGUCUUGUGUCAUCCGCCUCGCGAGGCUUGGUCCCUCGCGAGGUCUUGAAUGCUUGUUCGUGAAGAUGGGUCGUACGGGCCCACACACAGAGCCACGCCGUGGGCCGCAGGCAGGCAAGUCUGGGGACCCCCGUUCCCAGAACACCGACAGUAGCCCCCGGGCCCAAGGCGUGCUCGGGCUUGGCUUCGAGGCGAAGCCAAAGGCCAAGUGCGGAGCGCCGCGGGCCACAAAAGCCUGCAGACUUGGUCGACGCGUGGCGGUUGACUGGACGUGGGCUUCUCCGCUUCCCCACGCUGCCUCGGCAACUGCCCGACUUGACAAGUCCCUGCGACAUGCAAGGGAAAACCAUCAUUACCUGUGAUCGUGGGAGGCGCCGGUUGGCCUUCUCCCGCUACAAAUGGGGAGGGGGGCAGAGCCCCCGUCGCCCAUCUCUUCCCAGUCGCUUGCUUCUUCCUCCUUGCUCUACUGCUAGUAGCAAUUCCCAUGGCGCCGAUCCGAAGGUUCUCCGCCGAGGAGAAAGGAAAGGCUCCCUGUGACAAGCCAGGGCCGCUUCCACCUGAGAAGAGGCCAGUCCACCGUCGCGACAUUGUCGUGAGGGCGGAAGUGACGAGGCCCUGGUGAGAACGGCCACCUCCAGGGUAUCCGCUGCCCUUAUAUGCCCAAGCCGAGGGCUCAGGAGGAAGGAGCGACGAGCGGCGCCGCCCGCGCCGCGACCGCGGCCGCCACGCCAUGGCGGCACGCGCCGUCGCCCCUGGAAUCCACGCUGCGGACUCCUCUCGCGAGCUCGUGCUGUGGGCGGCGAUGCCCCCAAGCACUUGGAUCCGCUUCCCACGGUUUUUCUCUGACGUGAUGCCGCCGAGGGGACCCCUCGAGCUCUGGUUGCAGCAUGCUGACUGCGACGCCCCGGCGAUCGGAGCAGAGGUUGAAGUGGUCUCCUCCGGCAAGAUCUUCAUGACCCGCGGCAGGGGUGAGGUUGCGCGGGUUUGCCGUGCUAAGGGCGCCCUCGCGAUCUACUUUGAUUAUGAUGGCGCCUCCACGCUGUCCUUCAAGGUCUUCGAUGCGGAGGGCCGCCACCUGGAGUGCUGCCCUGGAGGGGAGCGCCAGGAUGACGCGCGUCCGGUCUGCGGCUCCUCCAGUAGCAGUGACUCUUGGGCGUCCAGUGGUUCUCCUGAGCUCUACGAGACUCCGGAGACGAGCGACGACAGCUACGUGCCCCCGAGCUCUCGCCGCGCCCGGAGCAGGGCUACAGCGUCCAGACGCCGCUGUCGCUGAUCUGUAUGGGGUUGGCGCCGGCCUCCCGUGGCCCACUGUUGAUGACGGCGUCGGCCGCGGGAGGGUGUAGAUAGGAUUCCCCUAAGUUCUCGUCUUUUGUUCCCAGCGAGGAAUCAAGAAAUACCCCGUGGGGGCGUGUAAAGGUUCUGUAAUGUCUUUUGUUGAUACUAUCCUUGUUAUGAAAAAUUGCGAAUGCAUGUUCUGUUUAGGCUCGGUCUCCCCUUUCCAACCUCGCGACGGCUCGUUGCUCUACGCUGACAGGUCCCGGUCCCCAGGCAAGCUGCAGCCGUCGCUGGUAUGCCAGGUCGCGUGCCGUGGUUAAGGCGAGGAGGUGAGCGGCCCGAGGUCCAGUAAGAGCCCCUGAGGCGUGAUGCUCAGGAGGUCUCCUUUAGCGCUCAAGCAGCCGUGAUAAAGGUAAGAAAGGGAGGCGACGUUGCCGCAACAGGGCUGCGGCGAGCGUGACCCCUAGGCUCCAAUGAUUAGCCGAUCUGAGCGCGAGACUUAUCUUGGCGGUCUGGGGUCGAUUCCUUGCAAUGCGCCGUGUUAAUGCGUAGCUAGGCCAGGUCCAUGCGAGCCUCCCCCUCUUCCCCACGCUCUCCUUUAUGCUCUGCGUCCUCAGGUCCCGGCCCUCGAGCGAGCUCAGCCGCCGCUGGUAUGCCAGGUCGUGUGCCGUGGUCAAGGCCGGGGGGUGAGGGCUGGAGAGCCAGUAGGAGCUCCUGAGUCACGAUGCUUAGGAGCCCCUCUUUUAACGUGCAAGCGGAUUGCAUGGGGGAAGAGGGAGCUCGUGGUGCCGCCUACUGUCAUUCUCAUGAGUUUCCUGCAAGCCAGCACAAGGAUAAACACAGUUUGCCAUUAUAGUUGCCAGUCCGCCGCCGGUUGCUUCGCGAGGAGACGAAGGCACUAAGGGCCUGGUGAGGUGACGUGCGCGGGGCGUGCCGCGAGCCAGAGCUCGACCGCUCAGAUUUGUCGAUGUUGCAGGGACGGACCCGUGCACAAGCAUCGUGCCAGCGUGAGCAGCCCCCGUGGGAGGUGAGAGUCAAACAGGUGAUCGUCAUAGAUAGACUAAGCAUGGGAAGCUUACUGGCUUAAGUAAAUGCAGGGAAGAUACACGCCACUGGGUCAGGCCCGAGCGGCUUGGGGAUGAUACAGCCCGAGGGGCGCCCCCAGCAAGAUAAGCUAAAGACAUAAGAAAAAGGGGUACUGAAAGUGCUAGUUAUCGACUAGAGGGGGUGAAUAGGCGAUUUUUAUGAACGUCUUCAAAACAUGGGAGUUUCAAAGACAAACAAUAGAAAUGAACCUAUUGACAUGUAGCGGAAGGUAGACUACACUAGGCAAGCCAUAGUGAAGUAUUCAAUGAAGUGAAAGCAUGAAGACUAAUAGCAGCUAGGUAGUAACGAUCAGGAUGGAAGAUAGUAUGAAGCCAAACAACAAUAGAAGCCACACAGUGAAGUCAAACAGGUAACACGGGCAGGCAAUGACUUCAUGAAGACAAAUUGUAAAUAAAGAGAGGGAGAAGAUAGAACCAGUCACUUGAUGAAGACAAGGAUUUGUUGGACCAGUUCCAGUUGCUGUGACAAUUGUACGUCUGGUUAGGGAGGCUGAGAUUUAACUCAGAAGACCGUGUCUUCACCUUAUUCCCCUUGAGCUAAGGACACCCAGUCCUCGCCCAAUCACUCUGGUAAGUCUUCAAGGUAGACUUCCAAACCUUCAUAGACUUCGUUCACCGGCGAUCCACAAUGACUCUUGGAUGCUCAGAACGCGACGCCUAACUGGCUGGAGGAUUCACAGUCCUCAAGUGUAACAAGUCUUCAGGUCACGCGGACAGAAAGACUUCAGUGAUGCCUAACACUCUUUGGCUCUGGGUGUUUGGGCUUUGUCCUCGCAAGGAUUUCUCUCUCUCAGAAGCUUCGGAGGUGGGUUGCUCUCAAACGACAAAAGUCGUGCACUAACUUUGAGCAGCCACGAAUUUAUGGUGUAGGGGGUGGGCUAUUUAUAGCCACUAGGCAACCCGACCUGAUUUGUCCGAAAUGACCCUCGGUCACUAAGGAACUGACACAUGUUCCAACGGUCAGAUUUCAAACACACGCGGCAGCUUGACUUGGGCUACAAGUAAAGCUGACUCAUCCAGCUGUGGAUAAGAUUUGCUCUCAUUGUCUUCACUCGAAGACAUAGGAUUUGGUUGAGCAUCACUUUAGUCACUCUGACUUUGUUCACUUGGACCCCACUUAACAGUAUGGUGGUUCCUAUGACUCAACAAAGAAGAAAAUGAAACUACGAAACAACUAUGUCUUCGUGCUCCAAAGUCUUCAUGCGAUGUCUUCUCAUGUCAUAGUCUUCAAUGUGAAUAUCGUCACAUACCACCAUUGUCUUCAUACAUUUUUAGGGGUCAUCUCCGGUAGGUAAACCGAAUCAAUGAGGGACUACUACCUGUGUUAUCCUGCAAUUCUCACAAACACAUUAGUCCCUCAACCAGGUUUGUCGUCAAUACUCCAAAACCAACUAGGGGUGUCACUAGAUGCACUUACAAUCUCCCCCUUUUUGGUGAUUGAUGACAAACUGGUUGAAGUUUUCAACGGGGAUAAAAGUAUGUGAAAUUGUAAAGGAUUAAGAUAUUGUCUUCAUAAGUAGCAAAAGGCUCCCCCUGAAGAUGUGCAUAUAAGUAAUUUGCUUUUGGAAUGCAAAUGCACAUGGCAGGUUGUACUUGUGGAGAUCCUCUUCAACUUAUGAAGGCAAUUCAUCAUGCAUGAUUAGAUAUAACAAAUAUAAUGACAUGCAUAAUGAAAAAUGGACGUCUGCAAUAUGACUUCAUGCGGGAUUUAUCAUCGCACAUGCGGAAUUUAUCAUCGCAACACAGAAUAGCAAACAAGUAGCAGACGACCAUCAAGUUUAAGUGUUACAACUCAAAGAACCAAAUGUAUCAAAACUGAGAGUUGUAAACACUUGGCAAAAUAUAAAGCAACCACCCAUAUUGACCCGCUUGAAGACUAUCAACCCAUAUGCUUCUACCCCUUUUGUCAGUAAGGACCAAAAAGGUUUGAAGACAUAGAGCCUCUACUCGUUCCCAUGAGGAGUAGGCGGUGAAGCUGCAGGGUCGUCGUUGAGGUUAGGUGGUGCAGAAGAACUUGGUGCAGUGUCGAUACGCGCCGAAGUUGGAGGUGGUGAGGUAGCAUCAUCUUGGUCAUCAAUGACUCUGGCAUUGACUGUGACAGCUGAGGAGGAAUAGUCAGAGUCUUCAAGAGAGGGAGUCCGACGCAAGACAGCAUUCCUUGGAGGAGUGGUGUCAAACUUGAAUCUUUCAUUGAAACCAUAGUCUUGAAGAUCAGCUUUAGCACUGAGCAAAGUCAAACUCUUCCAAGACCUCCGACAGGUUUCAUGAGUGACAAAUGCAUUCUUGGUGGCAAGGUUGCGAAUGCGAUUGACGUCCACCAAGAGGCUUUGCAUCUGUCGCUUUAGCCAGUAGGGACGCUUAUCCUGUUUUUGAUGCAGAGCGACGAGAAGCUCUUGGUCAUUGAGAACACGAGGUCGCUUCCGAGGCCUUUGUGCAAUUGUGCUUUCAGUGGCUUCAGUAUGAGCACGGUGUGGUGCACGUGUAUUGCCAGCCAAAGGAUAAACACGAGUGGCAGCCAGAACUCCUUCAAUGGGCUGUGUGAAGCUUUGGUGAUCAGCAUUAUGAAGAUAAAUUGGCUCCUUGGCAGGAUCUGGGUAGAUGGCUUCAACAUACAUAUCAUCCUCUGGCAAGAAUAUCAAAUGGUUGCGAGUAGAAGGCUGAUAGUUGACAGCAGAAUGAAGCUUGAUAAGGCGCAUAACCCAAGGAGCAUAGAACUUCAGACCAAAGAGGUCAGAGCCAAAUGCAGCCAAUUGCCUGAUGAAGAUGUCUUGAGCAUUGAAGCUGAUGCCAUUGAAGAUAUAAAAGACCAAUGUCUUCAUCGCUCCUUCAAGCUUCGCUGCAGAAGAAUGUCCUUUGAUGGGCCAUAGAGUUCGCCUUAUGAUAUGAUAGAUCGUGCGGGGCAGAUACUCUAGGUCUUCAACAAAGAAUUCUCUUGGAUAUUCAGCGUCGCGUGGCAGAGGCUUCAUCAUGCUCAGCAUUUGGCUCAUGUUGGGCUCUGGCUUCUGAAAGAUGCUCUCCAAUGCAUUGCGGUGAAGCUGACAACCAGGCUCGAAAAGUUCACCUGGAGCGGGCAGGCCAGUGAGCUCAAUGAUAUCAAGAGCUUUCGCUUCGUGAUGUACGUUGCCUGUCAUCCACUCAAGGAUCCAUGUCUUCGGAUCCCUGUUGUAGCCGCGAAUGUGGAGGGUAGCAUAGAAUUGUAGCAGAAGCUCUUCAUUCCAAUGCUCUUUAUCAGUUACAAAGUUCAGAAGACCAGCAUCACGGAAGAAUUCAAGGGCUUCUUCUAAGCAGGGCAGUCCAGCAAUAGCUUCACAGUCAAGGCGCAUAUGUGGAAAGAUGCGUCCUUGAUCAUAGAGAACACAGGAAUAGUAACUGCGCUGCUGAUAGCUCCAGAACCGAUCAGAUGAAAUUCUUGGCUUGGAGUAGGGGUUCUUGGCACUAUCAAAUAAAGUGUUGUGCGCAAUGAAGCCAUUUGCAUUGAAGGACCCUGGUGAAGUUGCAGUACCUGGAAACCUUGGCAGUCUUGGCUUAGGCUUCUGGACCUGAGGCCUGUGCUCUACAUGAUAGUCAAAUUGCGGACCAGUAGCAGGUGGAGGAACCAGAAUGGGCCAUCUGACAGUAACCAGCUGACCAUGAUCAAAUGCUUGCUCGAUGGUGUGUGGCCUUGGAGGCGGUACAGGAGUAGUGGCAGGAGCAGUGGCAUUGACUUCAGGCUGCAGAUUUGCUUCAGGUGCAGCAUUGGCUUCAGGUGCAACUACUUCUGGCACCACAUUAACUUCAGGCGCCACAUUAGCUUCAGCCAUGACAACGUCAUUGGCUUCAGUAUUGGUGUUGGUGGUUGCCUCAGUGUUGUCAGCCUCCACUUGAGUAGCUGGAGGGUCGGGCAUGUUCUCCUCGAGAACAACUUCAGGGUUGGAAGGGGGUGUAGCAACACGUUCAUCUUCUGCUCUUGGUUCUUCUUGUUCAUCGGCUGAUGCAGCCGGAAUGUCUUCAGCCGCUUUGGCUUCAGACUCUGAGAUGUUCGCAGUUUGAGAGACUUCAGGAAACACUUGUCGUGAGACAGAGUGGUGGAGCUCUUCUCCUUCUGGAACACUCGAAAGAGUGACUUGUGGCCUUGGUCCUUUGUGAAGCCUGCGAAACGCUGGCGACGCUUGUGGAGAUGGAGUAGGCUGGGCCUCAAAGUCAUCGUCAUCAAGCACCGGAGUGGUGACUUGAGUUGGGGGAGUACGUGGUGAUUCUUCUUGACGGGGGGAGUCUUGAGGGUGAUCAGCCCAUGAAUUAUCCUGAGCAAUUGGCGUCAAAGGACGACCAAUGCUGAUGAGUUCGCUGUUCGUGAGAACAGGCGAUGAUACCACAUUGUGCUCGAUCUAAGGAAGGACAUCAUCAUCUUCUACAUUGUCUUGGUGACGAAUGCCUUCAGCUGCGGUGGGGUCAACAGCUGGAAUCUCUUCAGUUUCAGGAGCCUCUGUGGUAGCAGGCUCAUGAACUAUCAACUGACGCUCUUAGUGUUCUAACGCAGGACGAGCAACUGAGAUCGGCUCGACGACAAGGGGCUCUGUGGGAGCAGCCCGAUGUUUCUUCUCUUCUUGGUUGGUGGAGCCUCAUCAGUGGUGUUCUUGGUCUUGCGCUUUCUGGCUUUGGCUUCAGCUGCCCUUGUUUUCUUGAGCUCCGAAGCCACUAUGGGGACCUUAGGCUUCACGCCUGUCAUACUGGCGGGGAAGACAAUGCGAGGUUCUUCCCGCCUGGAUGCUUCAGCUUGGUCCACAGCAGGCUUCUGCUUCUUGGCAGCCAUCUUGGGGUCGAUGGCAGGACGCCCAAGUGCCUUGCGCUUCUCAGUUUCAUUGUAGGCUUGAACACAUUUGGCAGCCAGGUGUUUCAUGCGCUCUCGAGAACCUUUAGCUUCGUCACGUUUCUUGUGAAACGCCUCCUUGAGCUCAUGCAUCAUUUGCUUGAAAUUCUGAACAUCAGUCACACUGAGCUUAGCCAUAUGCUUCUUGAACUGAGCCUUUUCAUAGUCAAUCUUGUGCUUCAGUUCAACAAUUUUCUGAGCUAGAGCCAGCUCAGGAGCAAUGGCUCCAUGGAAGGAGAUGCUAAGGCCAAUGGGGAGCUGAAGAUCAUCAAAGCUGAGGUUUGGGCUAUCGAACCACUCAUCAAUGAACUUGUUCAGGACUUCCACAUCGAAGAGGGGAAGAUCAUUGAAGAUUUCCGCCUCUUGCUUGCUCUUUAUUAGCAGCUCAGGAGCAUCAUCGCCAAGAUCGUCGUUACUAGACAGAUCAAUGGCUUCGCUCUCAUUUCUCAGAACGGCAGCUGGGGUCAGUGCUUGACCAGCAGUUUGCAUGGGCUUCUUCUUCUUCUCAGACUUGGAGAUGCGUGAGAGAUCUUCAGAAUUCACACUUGGUGCAGGAGGAGCAGUGGCUAGAGGCUUCGCUUGUGAAGCUCUUAGUGCAGUGGAGGGCUUUGAAGCUUUGGGUUUCUUUAGCUUCUUAGGCUUCGGUGGUGCAGGCGCUUCGUCAGAAUCAGCGUCUUCGGCAGAGUGAUCCACGGCAGCCCCUUGAACCAUAAUAUGAGUGAUGAGACCUUCAAGGUUGUAGAAGGGCCCAACAAUAUUGGGUUCAGCAUCACGGGUGCCAUCAGCACGAGGAGCAGAGGGACCGGGGUUGAAGUCUAAUCCUCGCGACUUCUUGUUCUCUUUGGCCGAGUUCUUGGCAAACUGGUAGUUGCGCUUGAACAGAUUGUCUUCACGACACCACAGCAGAGAAGAUGGGUCGGCAUCAGCAGGCUAUGGUCCACGGACCAUGCAAGGGUAGAAACCUUGAUCAAUGGCUUCAGUUCUGGACCUGGGUGGAAGAUUUUUGUACAAGAUGUCUCCCCAGGGUCGCUUGAUGGCAUUCUUCUCAGCAUAUUCCUGGGUCACGAACCUGUACUUGUACCAUUGCUCAGCCCAAUAUCUUCAAAUCCAUUGGAUUCGUGUUUUGCGCUGAUUGUAAUCCUCUUCUGGAUCUGUCUUGUACAGCUCAUAGAGGUCAGGUGGCAAAUCUCUUGAUGUCCCCCCAUGGAGAUGCCUGCCGCCCUUCCUAGCAGACUUAUCUGUGGCCAUGUAGUUCAGACUGAAUGGCUUCAAACUGUCAAAGGCUUCCGUCUGCUGGUCAGAUAGGAACUAGCUUCGGGAGAGUUGAUAUGAUGUUGUAAGAAUUCUGCAAAUGAAUGCAGACUAUGAGAAUCAAGGGAUUCUCCCACGGAUAUGUACCUGUGACAGCAUUAGAGAUGCAAGGGAAGGGGAAGAGGUCAUAUGCAUUCUCAGAAGAUUUUGAAGAUAAAUCAGUUUAGAAGACAUUGACCUCAUAGCGCGAAGACAUUCACUUAUAUGUUGAGAGUUGGUUCCAGAUUUGUACGAAUCCAAGAAUAGGUACAAGUGAGGAAUCUAACUACGUAUGAAGCAUAAGUGAAUAUACUAGGCAUAAUAUGAGAUGCAGAACAGGAUAGAUCCAAAUUUGUGGAGGCAGAAACCACUUUUGGUAGGAAGGAUGAAUCUAUUGGAUCAAAAAGACAGUAAAAAGAGAGUUUUAAUUUACCACACGAUGAAGUGCUAGACGGAGUAGAAGAGGAGGCCGAGCAGUUCAAUCUUCUGUGCCCUAACUUGGCGACGGAAGACACCUACGGCGGCGGCAGAGAAGGCGAUGUCCGCGGCCGGCGUGAGGACGACGUUGGAGAUGUCACGGAAGCUAAGCGCUUCGUCGCCGGCGUCGUCGAGAGCUAGCGGUGGCGCUAGGGUUUGUCGAGGUGGAGAGGUGGAAGAAAUAUUUUGACCGCGAUGUGAUGUGCAUUUAUAGGGAGAGGGACAGCACAGCGCAAUUACGCAGGUGCCCCUGGCGGUUCACAUCUGAGGGACACAUGGCGAACAUGCAACACACUGGAAGUUGUUCCAUGUUCCCACGCACGCCUGGACUGUCGGGUGGUCGUUCCGGCUUCUCCAGGUUUCAGGCAAUAAGGAUUGAGCAUUUAAAAUAGAUUUAAUGUUUGUCUCUGUAUCUUCUCCUAACAAGGACGCAGAGAAGACAUUCGACAGUUUCAAUCGAAUGCAUAUGAUUUGGAUAGAUAGAGUUUGAGGAAGAAGCAUAGAGAAGUUAGGGUCCGAUCACAUUCACUUAGUCCAAAAGAUUCAAAUGAGAAGACAUAGCUAUAAGUGAAUGUUGUAGAGGACAAAACACAAGUAUAUGUAUAUGUGAGUAAAACUAAAUCAACAGGGUGAAAAUCAUCAGGAAGACAAAUCAAUGUUGAAGAUAAAACAAAUGCGAAGACUUAGCAAAUGUAAUGCCAGGAGAAACACUUCAAACAAAGAUUUGGUGGUGGCGUUACCCACCGUAUAGGAAGUAUUAGACCCAGAGACGGCACACAAUUAUCGUGGCGCUCCGAAGUCAAUUUCCGCAUUAAUAUAUUCACACUCAGAGUGUAAGUCUUCAUUGAUUGAAGAUAUACAAUACUUCAUGUGUUGCACAUCUAAGUCGUCAACAUGCAUAAGUGUUAGGAUGUGUGCCUAAUCACAAGACAUUCGAGGAUUCCAAGAUAUUUAGCUCACACCGCAACUUGCAAAACCUUUUCUCAUCCAAGGGCUUUGUGAAGAUAUCUGUCAGUUGCUCUUCAGUGUUGACAUGAAUGAUACCAAUAUCUUCCUUCAUGACAUGAUCUCUGAGAAAGUGAUGACGAAUUUCAAUGUGAUUUGUCUUCGAGUGCUGAACUGGGUUGUUGGCAAUCUUGAUGGCGCUUUCGUUGUCGCAGUAGAGUGGUACUUGCUUCAGAUUGAUGCCAUUCUGCUGAGGUGUAUAUGGAGCGGAGAACUCAUGAGCGAUGCCCAAUGUAUCCAGGUAAAGGUCGAGGCCGGUGUUCUUGAACUCUGUGCCAUUGUCACUUCUGAUAUGCUUGAUCUUGACGCCAUAGUUAUUCAUGGCACGGUUGGCGAAGCGUCCGAAGACAUCCUGCACUUCAGUCUUGUAGAGGAUUAUGUGCACCCGAGUAUAUCUUGAAUAAUCAUCAACGAUGACUAAACCAUAGAGACAAGCAGUAGUAGUGAGAGUAGAGUAGUGAGUAGGGCCGAAUAAGUCCAUGUGUAGCAGCUCGAAGGGUUGAGAUGUCGUCAUGAUUGUCUUCGAGGGAUGCUUGGCCCUUGUCAUCUUUCCAGCUUCGCAGGCACCGCAUAAGUGAUCCUUCUUGAACUUGACGCCCUCGAUGCCUAUGACAUGCUUCUUCUUUGCGAGAGUGUGCAAGUUCCUCAUGCCAGCAUGCCCUAGCCUCCGAUGCCAGAGCCAGCACUCUGAAGCUUUUGCUAGAAGACAUACGGCAAGCUGUGGUCCUGCUGAGAAAUCUACCAUGUACAAAUCAUCUUUUCGAUACCCUUCAAAGACUAGAGACUUGCCAGAUUCCAUUAGUACAAGGCAACGAUAUUUUCCAAAUAUCACAAUCAUGUUCAAGUCACAAAGCAUUGAGACAGACAUUAAGUUGAAACCAAGGGAUUCAACAAGUAUCACUUUAUCCAUGUGCUGAUCCUUUGAGAUUGCAACUCUACCUAGACCCAAUACCUUGCUUUUACCAGUGUCAGCAAAUGUGAUGUGACUCUUGUCAGAUGGACGUAAGGUUGAGUCCAUGAGAAGACUUCGAUCAGCAGUCAUAUGAUUAGUGCAUCCGCUGUCCAUAAUCCAUUCUGAAGCAUGAUGUGUCAUACCCUACAGUACAGUUAGGGGGAUAGGCUUCACCAAGAGUAUUGUGAAGCAUAAACAUUUGACGGACAAGAGGAUUAUCAAAGCUCAGAUCAAGGUUAGGACUGAUAGGAUGAUUGGCAAGCGAUUCAGGAACAAUAUACAUAGUAAGACCAUUUGGGCAUUUUAUCUUGCGCCCUACAAGAUGUUUUAGGUCCCCAGCAAUAGCAUCAGACGCCUUUGAUUUCCGGCUGGAGACCUUUCCCUGCAAAAAAAGUUAAUUCUUCUUAACCACCCACAUCUUUAGGGGUGGCUUAGAAGCAAUGAGUCUAAGUGCAGCAUCUGAGAACUUCGGCUUUGGAGCCCUAGCAAAUAGCCUUGCAGGAGGAGAAUAAUACUCAUAUGAAUAAGCAGAAAAGUUCUUUGUCUUAUGAACAUAGCGCUUUGAAGAACCACGCUCAUAUUCAUACAUCUGAGUAUGAUUUCCCUGCAAAACAUUGGUGUUAGGGUGACUCAGGUGAGUCCCGUGUCUGUAUGAAGCCUUUGGACCAUAUGAAGCCUUUGGUCUGGGAUUUAUCUUCUUCCCAGGCGGUGUCAUGAUGACAUUGACAGGAAGAGUCUCAAGACAACUUUUGGGAACCCAAAUCUUCUUCAUAGGUGGCCCAUUCCUAUAGUUAGUACCAAUAUACCUGGCAAACACUUCACCAUUCUGAUUCUUAAACAGUUUAUAGUUUGCAUCAAAGGAUUCAUCAAUGAUAAUAGGGUUAGCACAAGUGAAGCCAGAUAAGGUGGAUGGAUCCACUAAAGGUCCCUUUGCAGCAACCCAUGUGGUUUUGGGGUACUGCUCAGGCUUCCAGUAAGAACCAUCAACAUUCAUUUUCCUCUCGAACCCAACACCCUCUUUCCUAGGGUUUCGGUUCAGAAUCUGCUUUUUGAGGACAUCGCACAGUGUCUGAUGCCCUUUGAGACUUUUGUACAUCCCUGUUUCAAUCAAUGUCUUCAACCUAGCAUUUUCAUCAGCAAUAGUAGUGGUAUCCUCAGCAGAGGGGUUAGUUACCACAUCAACAAUUGAAGAUAUUGCAACAGUAGCAGCAGUAGAACAUUCAACAACAGAAGUAGCGUUAUCACGCUCAAGGCAUUUUAGACAUGGUGGUUCAAAUCCUUCCUGAGCGGGACUGAUCUGUUGAGCACAAAGUGACUCAUUCUCCUUUUGAAGAUCUUCAUGAGCCGCUCUCAAUUUCUCAAGUUCUUGCUUCCUUUGAAGAUAAUCAUAGGAAAGCUUUUCAUGAGUCGUUGAGAGCGUUUCAUGACGACUUUCAAGUUCCUGGUACUUAACAUGAAGAUUUUUUAUGUCUUCAAUUAAGGACUAAGAUCGAGUCAUUUCUGCGUCCAACAGGUCAUCGCUUUUGUCUAACAGUUUUUGAGUAUGUUCCAUAGCUUUCUGUUGUUCAGUUGCAAUUUUAGCAAGUGUUUUGUAGCUGGGUUUGGAUUCACAAUCAGAGUCAUCUUCACUUGAUGUUUGAAAGUAAGCAUCGCGUGAUUUUACCUUGGCACCACGUGCCAUGAAGCAGUAGGUGGGAGCAGAUUCGUCCUUGUCAUUAGCAUCAGCGUUGGUGAUGGGGCUAUUGUCUUCAGUGUUGAAUAUGGACUUGGCAACAUAGGUUGUAGCUAGAGCCAGACAUGCAACGCCAGAGUCGGACUCCUCCUCAGACUCCACCUCCGCCUCCUCAGAAGCAGACUCCUCCUCUGAAUCCAUCUCCUUGCCAACAAAAGCACGAGCCUUGCCAGAUGAGCUCUUCUUGUGUGAUGAAGACUUGGACGAAGACUUGGAAGAAGACUUUGAGGAUUUCUUCUUCUUCUUGUCAUCAGAAUCAUAUUCCUUGCUCUUCUUGUUGUUGUUCUCAUUGUCCCACUAUGGACACUCAGAGAUGUAGUGUCCAGGUUUCUUGCACUUGUGACAUGUUCUCUUCUUGUAAUCAUGAGUGGAAGCUUCAUCAUUUCUUGAGCUGGAUCGUGAAGACUUUCUGAAGCCCUUCUUCUUAGUGAACUUCUGGAACUUCUUCACAAGCAUAGCAAGCUCCUUUCCAAUGUCUUCAGGAUCACCAGAACUGCAGUCAGAUUCUUCUUUAGAUGAGGAAACAGCUUUUGCCUUCAAAGCGCGAGUUCGGACAUAGUUUGGACCAUAGAUAUCUCUUUUCUCAGAUAGCUGGAACUCAUGUGUGUUGAGCCUCUCAAGUAUGUCAGACGGAUCGAGUGUCUUGAAGUCAGGGCGUUCUUGUAUCAUCAGGGCAAGGGUGUCGAACGAGCUGUCAAGUGAUCUCAGGAGUGUCUUGACGAUUUCAUGCUUGGUGAUUUCAGUGGCACCGAGAGCCCGAAGCUCAUUUGUGAUGUCAGUGAGGCGAUCAAACAUGAGCUGGACAUUCUCAUUGUCGUUUCUCUUGAAGCGGUUGAAGAGGUUGCGAAGAACAAUGAUCCUGAGAUCUCUCUGGGUUGAGACGCCUUCGUUGACCUUGGAGAGCCAGUCCCAGACUAGCUUCGACGUUUCCAGAGCACUCACACGGCCAUACUGUCCUUUGGUCAGAUGACCACAGAUGAUGUUCUUGGCAGUAGAAUCCAGUUGAAUGAACUUCUUGACAUCAGCAGGAGUGACACCUUCACCAGUCUUGGGAACACCAUUCUUGACGACAUACCAGAGGUCGACAUCAAUGGCUUCAAGAUGCAUGCGCAUCUUAUUCUUCCAGUAGGGAUAUUCAGUUCCAUCGAAGACGGGGCAUGCAGCGGAGACUUUGAUUAUCCCUACAGUCGACAUAGCUAAAACUCCAGGUGGUUAAACCGAAUCACACAGAACAAGGGAGUACCUUGCUCUGAUACCAAUUGAAAGUGCUAGUUAUCGACUAGAGGGGGGUGAAUAGGCGAUUUCUAUGAACGUCUUCAAAACAUGGGAGUUUCGAAGACAAACAAUAGAAAUGAACCUAUUGACAUGCAGCGGAAGGUAUACUACACUAGGAAAGCCAUAGUCAAGUAUUCAAUGAAGUGAAAGCACGAAGACUAAUAGCAGCUAGGUAGUAACGAUCAGGAUGGAAGAUAGUAUGAAACCAAACAACAAUAGAAGCCACACAGUGAAGUCAAACAGGUAAUAGGGCAGGCAAUGACUUCAUGAAGAUAAACUGUAAAUAAAGAGAGGGAGAAGAUAGAACCAGUCACUUGAUGAAGACAAGGAUUUGUUGGACUAGUUCCAGUUGCUGUGACAACUGUACGUCUGGUUAGGGAGGCUGAGAUUUAACUCAGAAGACCAUGUCUUCACCUUAUUCCCCUUGAGCUAAGGACACCCAGUCCUCGCCCAAUCACUCUGGUAAGUCUUCAAGGUAGACUUCCAAACCUUCACAGACUUUGUUCACCGGCGAUCCACAAUGACUCUUGGAUGCUCAGAACGCGACGCCUAACCAGCUGGAGGAUUCACAGUCCUCAAGUGUAACAAGUCUUCAGGUCACGCGGACAGAAAUACUUCAGUGAUGCCUAACACUCUUUGGCUCUGGGUGUUUGGGCUUUGUCCUCGCAAGGAUUUCUCUCUCUCAGAAGCUUCGGAGGUGGGUUGCUCUCAAACGACAAAAGCCGUGCACUAACUCUGAGUAGCCACCAACUAUGGUGUAGGGGGUGGGCUAUUUAUAGCCACUAGGCAACCCGACCUGAUUUGUCUGAAAUGACCCUGGGUCACUAAGGAACUGACACGUGUUCCAAUGGUCAGAUUUCAAACACACGCGGCAGCUUGACUUGGGCUACAAGUAAAGCUGACUCAUCUAGCUGUGGAUAAAAUUUUCUCUCAUUGUCUUCACUCGAAGACAUAGGAUUGGUUGAGCAUCACUUUAGUCACUCUGACUUUGAUCACUUGGACCCCACUUAACAGUACGGUGGUUCCUAUGACUCAACAAAGAAGAAAAUGAAACUACGAAACAACUAUGUCUUCGCGCUCCAUGAUAAUCCCCAAGUGCAGGGAAUCAUCGUAGCAAUUUCCAAAGGUGGAAGUGAUAAGUAUGGAGUGUCGAACCCACAAGAAGCUAAAGGUAAGAUCAAUAUUCUCUCAAGCCCUAUCUGCCACUGAUACGACUCUACGUACACCGAGCGUUUGCUUCCAACUAGCAACGAGAAAUAAAACUAUGUUGUGGGUAUGAAGAGGAUAACUUUGUAUGAUAUCGGAGAGCUAAAAUAUAAAAGUAGGUGCUGUUAUCAUAAAGUUAGAAUAUAUACUAAAUAUUAUAAAUAGCGAGUGUGGAAUAAUGGUGGAUCGGUGUGCGGAAUUGUCCUAGGCAAUUGUUAACAAGACCGGUGAUCACUAUUGCAGUUUCAUAUGAGGGAGAGGCAUAAGCUAACACACUUUCUCUACUUGGAUCAUAUGCACUUAUGAUUGGAACUCUAGCAAGCAUCCGCAACUACUAAAGAUCAUUAAGGUAAAACCCAACCAUAGCAUUAAAGCAUCAAGUCCUCUUUAUUCCCAUACGCAACAACCCCCUUACUCGGGUUGGUGUUUCAGUCACUCACCAACCCACUAUAAGCGUAUCAUGAACGUAUUGCAACACCCUACAGCGGGAACCCCUCACGCUUGCGCGACACGGAGGGCACAAUAGGACAGCACCAAAAUAAAACAUACAACUCGUACCAAUCUAGAUCAUCAAUCAACCCAAAGAUAAAAGAUAUCUACUCAAAACAUCAUAGGAUGGCAACACAUCAUUGGAUCAUAAUAUGUGGCAUAAAGCACCAUGUUCAAGUAGGGAUUACAGCGGGGUGCGGGAGAGUGGACCGCGUAAAAGAGAUGAGGAUGGUGAUGAUGGUGGUGAUGUUGAUGAAGACGAUCACCGCGGCGAUCAUUCCCCUCUCAAUGGCACUCCGGUGCCACCAAGAGAGAGGAGGAGAGGUUCUCCCCCUUGUGCUUCCUCCUCCAUGGCCUCCCCCCUAGAUGGGGAAAGGUUCUCCCUCUGAUCCUUGGCCUUCAUGGCGAUGAUGGCCUCUCCGGGAUACUCCUCCAUGGCCACCGGUGAUGAUGGCCCCAUCCGGCAGGGUGCCGGAGAGGGCCUAGAUUGAUUUCUCGUGGCUACAGAGGCUUCUGGCGGAGAAACUCCCGAUCUAGGUUAAUUUUCCGAGGUUUCUGUAUUUAUAGGAAUUUUUGGCGUCGGUCUCACGUCAAGGAGGUGCCCGAGCUGUCCACGAGGCAGGCCCACACGCCCAGGGGGGUGGGCGCGCCCCCCACCCUCGUGCGCAGCUCGGGACUCUCUGGCCCAACUCCGAUGCUCUGUGGUCUUCUUUUGGUCCAUAAAAAAUCAUCAAAAAUUGGCACGUCAAUUGGAAUCCGUUUGGUAUUCCUUUUCUGCAAAACUCAAAAACAAGGAGAAAACAGAAACUGGCACUGGGCUCUAGGUUAAUAGGUUAUUCCCAAAAAUCAUAUAAAAUAGCAUAUAAAUGCAUAUAAAACAUCUAAGAUGGAUAAUAUAAUAGCAUGAAUACUUCAUAAAUUAUAGAUACGUUGGAGAUGUAUCAGCAUCCCCAAGCUUAAUUCCUGCUCGUCCUCGAGUAGGUAAAUGAUAAAAGAAAUAUUUUAUGAAGUGUGAAUGCUAGCAGGUGCACAAGUUUGAUCAAUGAUAAUUUCAGUCACCUUUUCUAGCAUCAUUAUAUAUCAUAAUAGUAGCUCAUCUCAUAAAACUUCUCAUGAUAAAGUAACAAGCUAUUCACAUGUUAAAGUAUAGAUCAUAAACUUUCUUGAAAACUAACAAACCGUGUUAUCAGUCAUCAAACAAUUACAAUUCAUCUUAUUUUCAGGAAGAGUCUAUGUCAGAGCUUUGAUUUAGCAAACUCCACAUACUCAACUAUCAUUUAGUCUUUCACAAUUGCUAACACUCACGCGAUAUUCAUGGGUUCAAAGUUUUAAUCAGACACAGAGAAAGAUAGGGUUUAUAGAUUCGCCUCCCAACCUUUUAUCUCAAGGGUAAUGUCAACAAUAAUAGUUCAUGAUGCCUUACACCCAAUUGGAUAUAUAUAUCAGAAUCUUUCCAACACAAUGUGCUUGCCAAAGGAUAAAAUGUAAAAAGGAAAGGUGAAAAGCACCAUUGCAUAAGGGUAAGAGAUAAAAGUAAAAGAUAGGCCCUUCGCAGAGGGAAGCAGAGGUUGCCAUGCGCUUUCAGGGUUGGAUGCACAAAAUCUUAAUGCGAAAGAACGUCACUUUAUAUUGCCACUUGUGAUAUGGAUCUUUAUUAUGCAGUCCGUCGCUUUUAUUUCUUCCACAUCACAAGAUCGCAUAAAGCUUAUUUCCUCCACACUAAUCAAUCAUACAUAUUUAGAGAGCAAUUUUUAUUGCUUGCACCGAUGACAACUUACUUGAAGGAUCUUACUCAAUCCAUAGGUAGGUAUGGUGGACUCUUAUGGCAAAACCGGGUUUAAGGGUAUUUGGAAGCACAAGUAGUAUCUCUACUUAGUGCAAAGAAUUUGGCUAGCAUGAGGGGGAAAGGCAAGCUCAACGUGUUGGGCGAUCCAUGACAAUAUACUUUAUUUCAGAUAUAAGAAAACAUAACCCAUUACGUUAUCUUCCUUGUCCAACAUCAACCUUUUAGCAUGGAAUAUUUUAAUGAGUGCUCACAAUUACAAAAGAUGUCCAAGAUAGUAUAUUUAUAUGUGAAAUCCCUCUUCCUUCAAUAUUCUUUCAUGAAUUGUUCAAGUGACCAAUUCUACGUUUGCUAACUUCCAAUAAGUUUACUACCUAUACUUAUUAUGUGUGAAGUCAUUACUCCCCAUGUUAUAAGCAUAUGAAACAUAUAUAAAUUCAGAUUUAUGACAUUCAAUUUAUCCAACCGUUUACUCAUAGGAUAUACGUGAAGCACAUGAGUAAAUGACAAACUACUCCAAAAUAUAUGAGUGAAGAACACUGAGUAGUCAAAUAAUUAACUAGCCAUGGGAGGAUUAUUUUUCAUUCAAUAUUUCAGAUCCAAUGAUUUUAUUCAAACAGAAAGUAAAAUUGAAAAUACGCUCCAAGCAAAACACAUAUCAUGUGGCGAAUAAAAAUAUAGCUCCGAGUAAGGUAUACCGAUAGUUUUGAAGACGAAAGAGGGGAUGCCUUCCGGGGCAUCCCCAAGCUUAGGUACUUGAGUCUUCCUUGAAUAUUACCUUGGGGUGCCUUGGGCAUACCCAAACUUAGGGUCUUUCCACUCCUUAUUCUCCUCAUAUCGAUAUAUCACCCAAAGCUUGAAAACUUCAAUCACACAAAACUUAACCAAACUUCGUGAGAUAGGUUAGUAUGAUAAAGAGUAAAACCAUUCACUUUGGUACUGUUAAGGACAAGUUUAAUAAUUGUUCUCACACAAUUCCUACUGUACCAUAUCAUUUCUACAAUUUAUAUUGAGAAAUAUAAGUCAUAGAAACUAGAAAACAAGCAAACUAUGCAAUGAAAACAGAAUCUGUCAUAAACAGAACAGUCUGUAAUGAUCUGAACAUAAACCAUACUUCUGCUACUCCAAAAAUUAUGAAAUAAAUUGGUGGACGUGAGUAAUUUGUCUAUUGAUCCUCUGAAAAAAGAAUCAACUAAAAAGCACUCUUCUGUAAAAAAUGACAGCUAAUCUCGUGAGCGCAAAGUUUCUGUUUUUUUUACAGCAAGAUCACAUUGACUUUCUCCCAAGUCUUCCCAAAGGUCUUACUUGGCACUUUAUUGAAACAAAAGCUAUAAAACAUGAUUAAUACAGUAUCUUAAUCAUGUAAACACACAAAAACAGUAAGGGUAAAUAUUUGGUUGUCUCCCAACUAGCGCUUUUCUUUAAUGCCUUUUAGCUAGGCAUGAUGAUUUCAAUGAUGCUCACAUAAAAGAUAAUAAUUGAAACAUAAAGAGAGCAUCAUGAAGAAUAUGACUAGCACAUUUAAAUCUAACACACUUCCUAUGCCUAGGGAUUUUGUGAGCAUACAACUUAUGGGAACAAGAAUCAACAAGCAUAGGAAGGCAAAACAAGUAUAACUUCAAAACUUUAAGCACAUAGAGAGGAAACUUGAUAUUAUUGCAACUCCUACAAGCAUAUAUUCCUCCCUCAUAAUAAUUUUCAGUAGCAUCAUGGAUAGAAACUUUGUUCUCAUACUCAAUUGGAACCUCUUCCAAAAUAGUGGAAUCAUUACUAGCUAAAGUUGACACUCUUCCAAAUCCACUUUCAUAAAUAUCACACUAAGAUUCAACACCCUCCAAAAUAGUGGGAUCACUAAUUCCUAAAGUUGACACUCUUACAAACCCACUUUAAAUUAUAGUAUUAUUCAUACUCCAAAAGAUAUAAGUUAAGUUCAUGGAGCAUUCUACAAUUAAUAUAGACUAACCAAUAUCCAAGCUCAAAAUGUAUAAGUGAAGCACAUGAAGCAUUCUAUAAAACCAUACUCAAAAGAUUUAAGUGAAGCACAAAGAGCAAUUCUAUAAGAUCGUACUUAAAAGAUUUAAGUGAAGCACAUGAAGUAUUCUAUAAAUCAAUGAAGGGCUAUCUCAUGCUAGCAUGGUUCUUAAAGGAAAAACAAAAACACAAAGAUACAAAUCAUGUGAACAAAGCAAAAACCGAGGUAUACCGAUAUUUGUUGAAGAAGAAAGAUGGGAUGCCAACCGGGGCAUCCCCAAGCUUAGAUGCUUGAGUAUCAUUUGAAAUAUUUACUUGGGGUGCCUAGGGCAUCCCCAAUCUUGAACUCUUGCCUCUCUUUAUUCUUCUCAUAUUGAUAGCUCCUCGAUCUUCGGACAGUUCAUCCACACAAAACUUUAACAAAAACUUGUGAGAUCCGUUAGUGUAAUAAAGCAAAUCACUACCUUUAGGUACUGUAAUGAACCCAUUCUUUAUUUAUAUUGGUGUUAAACCUACUGUAUUCCAACUUCUCUAUGGUUCAUACCCCCCGAUACUAGCCAUAGAUUCAUCGAAAUAAGCAAACAACACACGCAAAACAGGAUCUGUUAAAAACAGAACAGUCUGUAGUAAUAUGGAAGUUUGGUAAACUUCUGUAACUCCUAAAAUUAUGAAAUACAUUUGAAAAUUUGAACAAUUUGUACAGAAGUAAUGUGCAAAAAGUUUCAGACCCAUUUGACCUUCCAGUAAAAAAUGUAAAAUCACGCACUACAGCCAAAGUUUCUGUUUUUGUUCUGCACAUAUUAAACAAGCAAUCUAAUCAUCCUAAAACCAAAGCUUGGCACAUUAUUUUUAUAAUACAAUGGAUAUAUACAAGGGGAUAAUUAUUUACAGAGAAACUUCCAUGAAAAAUUCUACAUUGUUUCCGUGAGCAUGAACACAAGUGCUCAAGGUCGACCCUCACUUCUUCAAUGCAUAACUUUCCAAUCACUUCUCUUUUUUGAAAAAAAUUUAGGCAUGAAAGGCAAGUAAAUUUUUUUUUUGUAUUUUCAUUCUUUUAAAUUUUUUGUAUGUUUCACCCACAACUAAACAUAAACAAAAAGGAAAAAAAACAAAAUCUACUUAGUGAAGAAAGCAAACAAGCACACGCGAGAAUAUCAACCCCACGCUAUUGCUCCCCGGCAACGGCGCCAAAAAAGAGCUUGAUAAUCCCCAAGUGCAGGGAAUCAUCGUAGCAAUUUCCAAAGGUGGAAGUGAUAAGUAUGGAGUGUUGAACCCACAAGGAGCUAAAGGUAAGAUCAAUAUUCUCUCAAGCCCUAUCUGCCACUGAUACGACUCUACGUACACUGAGCGUUUGCUUCCAACUAGCAAUGAGAAAUAAAACUAUGUUGUGGGUAUGAAGAGGAUAACUUUGUAUGAUAUCGGAGAGCUAAAAUAUAAAAGUAGGUGCUGUUAUCAUAAAGUUAGAAUAUAUUACUAAAUAUUAUAAAUAGCGAGUGUGGAAUAAUGGUGGAUCGGUGUGUGGAAUUGCCCUAGGCAAUUGUUAACAAGACCGGUGAUCACUAGUGCAGUUUCAUAUGAGGGAGAGGCAUAAGCUAACAUACUUUCUCUACUUGGAUCAUAUGCACUUAUGAUUGGAACUAUAGCAAGCAUCCGCAACUACUAAAGAUCAUUAAGGUAAAACCCAACCAUAGCAUUAAAGCAUCAAGUCCUCUUUAUUCCCAUACCCAACAACCCCCUUACUCGGGUUUGUGUUUCAGUCACUCACCAACCCACUAUAAGCGAAUCAUGAACGUAUUGCAACACCCUACAGCGGGAACCCCUCACGCUUGCGCGACAUGGAGGGCACAAUAGGACAACACCAAAAUAAAACAUACAAAUCGUAUCAAUCUAGAUCAUCAAUCAACCCAAAGACAAAAGAUAUCUACUCAAAACAUCAUAGGAUGGCAACACAUCAUUGGAUCAUAAUAUGUGGCAUAAAGCACCAUGUUCAAGUAGGGAUUACAGCGGGGUGCGGGAGAGUGGACCGCGUAAAAGAGAUGAGGAUGGUGAUGAUGGUGGUGAUGUUGAUGAAGACGAUCACCGCGGCGAUGAUUCCCCUCUCAAUGGCACUCCGGUGCCACCAAGAGAGAGUAGGAGAGGUUCUCCCCCUUGUGCUUCCUCCUCCAUGACCUCCCCCCUAGAUGUGGAAAGGUUCUCCCUAACAUACUUUCUCUACUUGGAUCAUAUGCACUUAUGAUUGGAACUAUAGCAAGCAUCCGCAACUACUAAAGAUCAUUAAGGUAAAACCCAACCAUAGCAUUAAAGCAUCAAGUCCUCUUUAUUCCCAUACCCAACAACCCCCUUACUCGGGUUUGUGUUUCAGUCACUCACCAACCCACUAUAAGCGAAUCAUGAACGUAUUGCAACACCCUACAGCGGGAACCCCUCACGCUUGCGCGACAUGGAGGGCACAAUAGGACAACACCAAAAUAAAACAUACAAAUCGUAUCAAUCUAGAUCAUCAAUCAACCCAAAGACAAAAGAUAUCUACUCAAAACAUCAUAGGAUGGCAACACAUCAUUGGAUCAUAAUAUGUGGCAUAAAGCACCAUGUUCAAGUAGGGAUUACAGCGGGGUGCGGGAGAGUGGACCGCGUAAAAGAGAUGAGGAUGGUGAUGAUGGUGGUGAUGUUGAUGAAGACGAUCACCGCGGCGAUGAUUCCCCUCUCAAUGGCACUCCGGUGCCACCAAGAGAGAGUAGGAGAGGUUCUCCCCCUUGUGCUUCCUCCUCCAUGACCUCCCCCCUAGAUGUGGAAAGGUUCUCCCUCUGAUCCUUGGCCUUCAUGGCGAUGAUGGCCUCUCCGGGAUACUCCUCCAUGGCCACCGGUGAUGAUGGCCCCCUCCGGCAGGGUGCCGGAGAGGGCCUAGAUUGAUUUCUCGUGGCUACAGAGGCUUCUGGCGGCGGAACUCCCGAUCUAGGUUAAUUUUCCGAGGUUUCUGUAUUUAUAGGAAUUUUUGGCGUCGGUCUCACGUCAAGGAGGUGCCCGAGCUGUCCACGAGGCAGGCCCACGCGCCCAGGGGGGUGGGCGCGCCCCCCACCCUCGUGGGCAGCUCGGGACUCUUCUGGCCCAACUCCAAUGCUCCGUGGUCUUCUUUUGGUCCAUAAAAAAUCAUCAAAAAUUGGCACGUCAAUUGGAAUCCGUUUGGUAUUCCUUUUCUGCAAAACUCAAAAACAAGGAGAAAACAGAAACUGGCACUGGGCUCUAGGUUAAUAGGUUAGUCCCAAAAAUCAUAUAAAAUAGCAUAUAAAUGCAUAUAAAACAUCUAAGAAGGAUAAUAUAAUAGCAUGAAUACUUCAUAAAUUAUAGAUACGUUGGAGACGUAUCACUCCAAAGUCUUCAUGUGAUGUCUUCUCAUGUCAUAGUCUUCAAUGUGAAUAUCGUCACAUACCACCAUUGUCUUCAAUGUCUUCAUACAUUUUUAGGGGUCAUCUCCGGUAGGUAAACCGAAUCAAUGAGGGACUACUACCUGUGUUAUCCUGCAAUUCUCACAAUCACAUUAGUCCCUCAACAAGGUUUGUCGUCAAUACUCCAAAACCAACUAGGGGUGGCACUAGAUGCACUUACAGGUACAUGCCAUAGGGACGGACCCACGCGGCCUGGGAAUGAUGCAGCCCGAGGGGCGCUCCCAGCUAAAUAAACUUGGAAAAUGUCACCUGGUUCUGUCGAUGAAGGGAUGUCGGGGCAGCUGAAGGUACGCGGUGAAGGGGUUGCUCCUCACGAGCCACCGGGGCCCUGAGCCUCAGGAGGCUCUAGGGGUCCAGGCGGUUCCUUGAGGACCGUCUCCAUCUCCAUCAGGAUGGCGUGAUGCCUGGCCUCCUGAGCUGCCAUGGUGCGCUGCAAGCUGCGCUGAUAGGCGGACGACACGCUCGGCAGGCCAAAAGGCAUGUGAACGUAGCUGUGCGGUGGGCCUUUGCAGCGUCCCACGCGCGAAGGCCAGAAGAGCUCCUGAGAUGCGGCCCUAUUGAGCCCUGGGACGUCGAUGCAGACGCGCAGCCCAGCAUCCUCGCCUGGAUGGGGAGUUGCGCCUCGCGAGCGGCGGUCGCCGUGCAUGGCCCUUGCGUCUUGCAGUUCUUGAGUGGUCCUGGUGAUGAACUCCUGAGCGGUGGGCGCUCCUCGCCCUGUGUUCUCCUAAGGGAAACGUGCCGUGAAACACGCCUCCAAGUGGUGCCCGAGCGCCUCCCUCGUGAUGUUGGCAAGGUCUGAGGCCCUCCAGAAGAGAGCCCUCGAUCCCUGCCCGAGAAGGGCGCCGGGCGCGCCUUCCUAUGCAAUGGAGGGAGGCGCCCCUGGCGCGGGUGCUGAUCCUGACGAGGUUCCAGUCGCGACGCCACCCUCUUGAGGUCCUGCACGGCGCAGCUGCUUCUUCUUCUUGGGGGUGGCCUCAGGAGGGCACUCGCCCUUGCUAUCGGGGUCGUCGAUUGCUGCAGCUUGGAAGGCACGCUCAAGGGACCACACCGCAUCUCUUUCUUCGCAUGGGACCAUGAUGAUUCCGCCGCUUCCCGGCAUCUUGAGGACAUUGUAGCCGUGACGGGUCACCGCCAUGAACUUGGCCAGGGCUGGAUACCCGAGGAUGGCAUUGUACGGCAGACGGAUGUGCGCGACGUCGAAGUCGAUGAGUUCGGUGCGGUAGUUUUGCGUUCUCCGAAAGUGACGGGAAGGCGGACCUGCCCGAUCGGGGUAGUGGAGACGUCGGUCACUCCUGAGAAAGGCUUGGUGGGCUGAAGCUGGUCAUACGGCACUUGGAGGUUGUCGAACGUGUCGACGGACAGGACGUUGAGCCCUGCACCGCCGUCGAUGAGGGUCUUGGUGACUUGCAUGUUGCUGAUGACUGGGGAGCAAAGCAUCGGGAGGGUGCCUGCGGUAGCAGCGCACUUGAGUUGAUCUGCCGAACUAAAGGUGAUGGCGCACUUGGACCACCUGAGCGGGCGUGUGGCCUCGAGCUUGGGGAGGACUGCAUUCACUUCACGAGCAAACUGUCUGAAGAUACGCUGCGAGGCUGGGGCCUAAGCUUCUCCCAAGAUGCAGGCGAUAGCACGCGGCUCCUAGAAGCCCCCAGCCCCCUCAUCUUGAUGGUGGUCGUCGUUCCUUCUUGCCGGCGGAGGUAGUGGGGGAAGACCGGCGUUGCCCUGAGGACGAUCCUCGCGAGGCUGGUCCCUCCAGGCGCCCUCGCGAGGCUGAUCCUGCCAGCAGUCCUCACGAGGCCGGUCGCGCCACUCCUGGCGCGGGCCACGGUCGUCCCAGCGUCCGCCACCACGUCCUCCUCCUUGGUCAUAGCCCCGGUCGUUGCGCUCGGGGUGUCGACCGAAGCGUCCUUCUCAAAUGGCUCUGAGCUCUUGACAGUCGCUGGUGUUGUGGGUAUGCAGGUUAUGGAAAGCGCAGAACGGUCGGCUGCUCUUGGAUGACUCGGGCUGGUCUCUGCCGCGCUUGGUGUCCGGCUCUGCCGCGAGCACGGCUGCUCCCUUGCGCUUCACGUCCUUGGCCUUGGCUUUCUUCUCCUCCGGGUCCGCAGCCGGGAGCUCAAGGAGGGAGAGGCGCCCCUCCUCAGCUCUUGCGCACUUGGUCGCCAGGUUGAACAGCUCCAGGGACGUGCAUAGCUCCUCCUUCAUCUUGACGUCACGGACGCCAUCGGAGAACGCGGAGAUGAUGGCCUCGUCCAUCACCUUGGGGAUCUUGAGACGAAUGUUGUUGAAGCGAUGGAUGUACUUCUAGAGGGUCUCUCCUGGUUGUUGCUUGACACGAUGCAGGUCACCCGCGGCCGGUGGGCGGUCGUGAGUGCCCUGGAAGUUGGCGACGAAGCGGUCGCGCAUCUCGUCCCAGGAGGAGAUCGAGCCUGGAGGCAGGUUCAGGAGCCACGAACGAGCGCCGUCUUUGAGCGUCAUGGGGAACCAGUUCGCCAUGACCUUCUCGUCGCCGUUGGCUGCCUCGAUGCUCAGCUCGUAGAGCUGCAGGAACACCGCGGGGUCGGGGGUGCCGUCGUAGCGAGGAGGCAGAUCCGGCUUGAACUUGCCCGGCCAGGCGAUGCUACGCAGCUCGGGAGUGAAGGCGCGGCAGUCGGCCGUGGUCACUGGGGCCCGUCUUGGAGGUGGAGCUUGGUCUUGGCGCCCGCGCGCCGCUACAACAAGCGGCGUGGGGCCUUGCCGCAGAAAACGAUCUUGGCGCGGCGGUGCGAGGAGUGGCGGAGCGUUCUCUUGCGUUCGAGGGACUUCUUGACAGCUUCUUUCUUCACGCGCGGGCGCCGGACGCGGUGGGUCGCGCCGUGGAGCCGCGCGCUAGGGCGCCGUCUUGGUGCAGAGGUGGUGGAGGUGCUCCGUGAGCUACGUCGCCCGUAGCUGGCGGAGGGCGAGGCAGUGAGAGGGACGGCACAGGGGAGCCCCCUGCGGCGCUGACAAGCUCGGCGAUGCGGUCGAGCCAGUCCUCGUAGAGGUCGUCAACCGAGCGGUAGCGCAGGAGCUCGUGCGCCAUGAGGAGUGUGGCCCGUGCGUCCGUGGGAGCGCGACGAGCGUGAGAUGAUGAACCAGCGGGAGUCAUCGAUGGAGUGGCGGUGCGGCCAUCCUGUCGCACCGAGGGGUGCAACGAGGACGCUUGCUGCUCAUUCCCCACCGGGCCGGUGGCGGCGUUGGUGGCAGGCGACUGAUACGUCUCCGUCGUAUCUAUAAUUUUUGAUUGUUCCAUGCCAAUAUUAUACAACUUUCAUAUACUUUUUGGCAACUUUUUAAACUAUUUUUGGGACUAACAUAUUGAUCCAGUGCCCAGUGCCAGUUCCUGUUUGUUGCAUGUUUUAUGUUUCGCAGAACCCCAUAUCAAACAGAAUCCAAACGGGAUAAAAAUGGACGGAGAAUAUUUUUGGAAUAUUUGGAGAAUUCCGGAAGAAGAAUCAACGCGAGACGGUGCCCGAGGUGGCCACGAGGCAGGGGGCGCGCCUGCCCCCCUGGGCGCGCCCCUGACCCUCGUGGGCCACCCGUAAGGUGGUUGAUGCCCUUCUUCGGCCGCAAGAAAGCUAUUUUUUGGAAAAAACAUCACGGCGAAGGUUUCAGUCCAAUCGGAGUUAUGGAUCUCCAUAUAUAUACGAAACGGUGAAAGAGCACGAGGGCGAGAACGCAGAAACAGAGAGAGAUAGAGAGACAGAUCCAAUCUCGGAGGGGCUCUUGCCCCUCCCACGCCAUGGAGACCAAGGACCAGAGGGGAAACCCUUCUCCCAUCUAGGGAGGAGGUCAAGGAAGAAGAAGAAGGGGGGCUCUCUCCCCCUUCUCUUCCGGUGGGGCCGGAACGCUGCCGUGGCCAUCAUCAUCACCGCAAUCGUCACCAACAACUUCACCGCCAUCAUCACCAACUCUUCCCCCCUCUAUGCAGCGGUGUAACCUCUCUCUUACCCGCUGUAAUCUCUACUUAAACAUGGUGCUCAACGCUAUAUAUUAUUUCCCAAUGAUGUAUGGCUAUCCUAUGAUGUUUGAGUAGAUCCGUUUUGUCCUAUGGGUUAAUUGAUGAUCGUGAUUGGUUUGAGUUGCAUGUUUUAUUAUUGAUGCUGUCAUAUGGUGCUCUCCGUGUCGCGCAAGCGUGAGGGAUUCCCGCUGUAGGGUUUGCAAUAUGUUCAUGAUUUGCUUAUGGUGGGUGGCGUGAGUGACAGAAGCACAGACCCGAGUAAGUAGGUUGUUUGCGUAUGGGAUAAAGAGGACUUGAUGCUUUAAUGCUAUGGUUGGGUUUUACCUUAAUGAUCUUUAGUAGUUACGGAUGCUUGCUAGAGUUCCAAUCAUAAGUGCAUAUGAUCCAAGUAGAGAAAGUAUGUUAGCUUAUGCCUCUCCCUCAAAUAAAAUUGCAAUAAUGAUUACCGGUCUAGUUAUCGAUUGCCUAGGGACAAAUAACUUUCUCGUGACAAAAAGCUCUCUACUAAAACUAACUUAGUUGUGUCUUAAUCUAAACAGCCCCUAGUCUUUAUUUACGUGCUCUUUAUAUUCUUGCAAACCUUUCCAAAAACACCUACAAAGUACUUCUAGUUUCAUACUUGUUCUAGGUAAAGCGAACGUCAAGCGUGCGUAGAGUUGUAUUGGUGGUCGAUAGAACUUGAGGGAAUAUUUGGUCUACCUUUAGCUCCUCGUUGGGUUCGACACUCUUACUUAUCAAAAGAGGCUACAACUGAUCCCCUAUACUUGUGGGUUAUCAGCGACGGAGAACGACGGGAUGGCCCGCCGACAGGCGCCGUCUGAGCAAUGCGGGUGGCGAGGGCAGCCCGGCGCUCGGCGCGGGCGUGGCGUGCGUCCGCCAUGGAGACGAUGAAGCGACGGAAGGGAAGCUUCGGCGCACCCCUACCUGGCGCGCCAAAUGUCGGAUCACGGGUUCCGGCAAAACCCUUAAGGUUCGAACUCUGGGGUGCGCGCGAAGUUCUCCUCCUACCGAUCCACGUCCUAGCUUGCUAAGAUCUCGAGGGUUAACUCCACGAACUCACGACACAAGAGACACAAGAUUUAUACUGGUUCAGGCCACCGUUGUGGUGUAAUACCCUACUCCAGUGUGGUGGUGGUGGAUUGCCUCUUGGGCUACGAUGAACAGUACAAGGGGAAGAACAGCCUCCUGAGGUUGAGGUGUUCUUAUGCUUGGUGUGCGGCUAAGGCUCAGCUAAAGAUCAGAUGCCCCCUACGGUGGUGGCUAGUCCUACUUAUAUAGGCCCUGGUCCUCUCCCCAAAUAUUGAGCGGGAAGGGAGCCAACCACGGCCAAUUUGAAAGGGGACAACUAGUACAGCUUAUCCUGACAAAAGCGGUCUUCGCCUGCAAAAGGCUCUUGUGGUGACGCCGCCUUGGGCUCCAUGGUGACCUCCGUCUUGCCGUCCUGCUGGUCUUGGUAUCGUUGCACCGAUAUGGAAACCUUUCCAUGACGCCUCGGUACUCCGUGCCUGCGCUUGCUUCCUUAGCACCAAAGGGGAAACAAGGACACUGCGCGCGCUGGCGCCCGCCUGGCGCCUGCCUGAUCUCGAUCGUCAUGGCUCACAUUAUGAGAACCUCGCAAGGUUUGCCUUGCCUUGAUCUCUCCGCCCCUCACGAGCCAACCUGGUGAGGCCGCUCCUGAGGAGGUCUUGUGUCGUCCGCCUCGCGAGACUUGGCCCCUCGCGAGGGUCUUGAAUGCUUGUUGGUGAAGAUGGGCCGUACAGGUCCACACGCAGAGCCACGCCGUGGGCCGCAGGCAGGCAAGUCUGGGGACCCCCGUUCCCAGAACGCCGACAGAGUAUUCUUCAUCAACCUUGUUGCCUCCAUGAUGAUGUGUGAGUAGUUCUAUCAUGACCUAUGGGUCUGUAGUAGCUAGAUGACUCUCUCUCUCUAUGGCCCUGUUUGGUUCGGCUGUGGAUUUCUAAAAGCAGCUGUGAAAAAUCUGUUGUGGAAAAAUAGCUGUAGAAAAUCUGAUGUGAAAAAUAUGUAGGUCAUUUGGCAAACCAGCUGAUACAGCUUUUUCAGAUUUUGGCCCGCGGCGGAAUCAGAUUUUGGAAAGCACGUCCUGGGCUGCUUUCGCUUUUGGUUCAGAUUUUGGCAGCGGAUUUCUGGAAUCGGAUUCUGCUGGGUUCGCCCUUUGGUUCAGAUUCUGCUGCGCGGCAGCGGAAUCCGUCGAUAAAAGCUGAACCAAACAUGGCCUCAAUACCAUGUUCCCGUGAGCUUUCUCACAUCAUCAAGAUCAAUUCGAUGUAAUCGGCGGUGUGUUUGUUGGGACAUGAUGAAUUGUCACUUUAUGACCAGAUUGUUCAUUGAAAUCAGUUGAAUCUUUUGAGCUUUUACUUGUUGUAUAAUUAAAUAGCUUUGCAUGCUCUCCGAUCUAUAUAUCUUUUUUGGUCAAGUUCGAUGGGUUUUUCUUUAGAGGGAGUGGUACUUUGUAGUGGAUUUAAUCUUGUGGUGAUCUAGCCCAUGCCGUUGCUCUAGCACUCCAAUCGCCGCCCAGGCCUUGCCGGACACCCACCUUAGACUACACCACCGUCCACUCCAGAUUCGUCCGUAGCCAGGUAUCCUCUGCCCCUGGCGACACUGUCCAUGGCGGACACCACACCCGGCAAGUUUUUGGCCAAAUGUCAAUGAGAUUUUUUAUGUUAUUGUUGUUUACUUUCAAGCAAGCACAAUGGCUGCGUACUUGAUGAGGGAGGAUGAGUUGUUGUGGCGAUGCUUGGUUGGCUAGAAGUGUAGACUUUGUAGGCCUGGAGCAAGAGGGCAUGAUAUUUGGGGGAAAUGUGCAUUCUUGGUUUAUGAGCAAAAACAGUUUGUGCCCUACAACUUGCACAUGAUUCGUGAGUGCAAUCUGAAAUCGCUAACCCAUCGAUGGUACACCAUCUCAAACUCCUUAUGAAGUAUUGCAGUGCGAUCGCAUAGAUGGAAAGUGGGUGACCAUCAGGAUCGUCAGACAUCGAGAUCGUAAGUUCUCUUCUAGUUGCUCUACAUGUUGGUCAGUUUAAUUAAUAUUUUUCUGAGAAAAACUUUCAAUCUAUUCAUCAACUAUCAAGGUAGUACAAAGAACACUAGAAAUAAAGAUUACAUCCAGGUCCGCCGACCACCUAGCGACGACUACAAGCAUUGGAGCGAGCCGAAGGCGCGUCGCCGUCAUCGCCUCUCCCUCACCGGAGCCAGGCAAACCUUGUUGCAGUAGACAGUCGAAGAGUCGUCGUGCUAAGGCUCAAUAGGACCAACGCACUAGAACAUCAACUGCCGCCAAUGGAGAGAAGCAUAGAUUAGAAGGAUCUAACCUGUAGACACACGAACAAAGACCGAAUCCAGGUGGAUCCACCUAAGACAAACGCCGACCGAAUCCCGUAAGAUCCGUCGGAAACACAUCUCCACACGCCCUUCGAUGGUGCUAAACGCGUCGCCAAAACAGGGGCUAGGCGGGGAGAACCUUUUUCUAUUUUCAGAAAGUCGCCGCCUCCUCGUCUUCCCAAGCAGGACACAAUCCCUAAACAAACACACACAAAACCUAAAAACGGAGCAAGAGCCCUUCCGCCGGCAAGGACUCGCCUCGUCUCCAUGGCCUUAAGGCCACAAACGGCGAGGUAGAUCGGCGGUGCCACCGACGGGAGGCGAGCAAACCCAAGUCUCCCUCACAAGAAGCAGAGGAGGAGGGGUACGUUGGUCAAUUUAUUAGUUCACUCAAUGUCAUAACUUGGUGUUCAUAUUAUUAUAUAGCUCGGACGCGCUAUCGUGCUAUACCAAACAACGGAGUGGUGGGCCAUUCAUAUUAAUGCACUGUUGGAUGAAGUUUAAGGGGCACAAUGUCUGGAUGAACAACACUUUGUCGUGGGAUUAUUUCGGGCGUAAUAUUUAUUUUGAAUUAUGGAUGAGCAACACUUGGCUCAAGGCGCACUAGAAUAUUUGCAUGCUAUUCAUGGAUUAUUUUUGUGGUAUUCUUUAUGGUUUUGAGUGGUUCGAAGAUAGAAAAAUACAUAAGCGAACUCGUAUUGGGUGGCCGACUCCUGUAUGUUGUGUCAGUAUAAACGUAUCCGGACGCUUAUGUAGAUGAUUUACUGUGUCCGAUUAAGAUACGAUGAGUUUUUUUUUUUCUUCUUGCCAAGGCAGCAAACCGAUCAGAAUCACAAUUCACAGAUGACAAGACAUAGAGACAGACGGGCCGGGCCUAUAUACAACGGAGAGCGACCGACGAAGAAGAAGCGGAUCGAUCGAGUCGGCGAGAGCGAUGGCGGCGCUCCGGCACGCGGCGAAGGGCUCUGCGAGCGUGCGCUCCAACAGCGAGGAGCGCAGGCGAGCUCUUCGGUCGUGGCGGAGGAACCUCGGCGGCUCUUGCUAAACGGCGCUUCCCCUGGCCGCCGGCUCAUGUCCACCUCCUCCAUCAGUCGCAAGGUACUUCUUUUCUCCUACCUUCGAUCCCUCUCCCUCCCAGAUCCGGCGGGUUUGCCGUCGGAGACCUCCGAGGGUACGGCUGCCCUCUCAAGCAGUAGCAGCGCUGCCGGCGUGGGGACCAGAUUAGGGUUGUUGCCGAUUCGUCCCCAAAAAUCUUUGGCAAAUCUUGGGACCUGACGACUUGGGCCAAAGAAAUUAAAUAAAAAAUCUUCGAUUGCCGGCGAUCAGGAGUCACUUGCAGCCAUUGAUUGAUUGCUCUUGAGAUCCGGCGAUCGAUUGCCGGUGAUUAAGACCUCAACCUUGUGUGAGAAGUUAAGAAUGAUGAUAGCAUUUUGCAAGUUAUAAGGCCAUGCAUAAACAUAUGUUGAUUAGUUCUGAGGACAAGGAUAUAUAAAUCGAUAUUGUAAUGUCAAAUUUUCUUUCAGCAAACCAGUAAUUAUAUGACAGACACAAUUCUGUGAAGGAAACUAUGCUAAUUAAUAUUAAUUUAAUCAUGUUGUGUAUUUUGUGGCCAGCCAACAUCUAGUGCCGAGCUGGAAUUGCUGGAAAUGCGAUUCAAGAAGACGAAGGAAGAGUUGUUUGAUUUGCUCGUAGCAGUGAAAAGGGCAGAACUUUACCCACAGUUUUUUUUAAAGCAAAGCAAAGCUUUAUAGAUUAACGGUGUGCAGGCAAAUCGCCCAACACACGAGCAGCCACUAAGGGCGGUACAUCAUUCUCCCAAUGCAUACAUAUAUCAGGUAAACACAUACGGCCAAUUUGGCCCAGCUCAUGUGCUACAUUGUUCUCACUCCUUUUGCAUGCUCGCACACUAUGUUUUGCAAACCAGAGCUUUAACUGUAGCUUGAUAUCUUCAAGGAUGACAGCAUACGGCGAGGAGUCAGUCUUGUGAACGUCGAGCGCCUCUACCAGCAACUGACUGUCAGUCUCAAAAGUAGCCCGGACUACGCCGAUAUCAGCUGCAAGGGCGAUCGCUCCAGCCAUGGCCCGAACUUCCGCUCCAAAGGCAUCUGUAGUCUGCUCCUGUCGUCCUGCACGGGCCGCAAUAACUUGCCCUUCGGAGCCGCGAACCACAGCGCCCCACCCACAGAAGUUGCUACCCGGCACAAAGGCUCCGUCGAUGUUAAUUUUGAGCUCAUCUGGAGAUGGUGGCCGCCAUUUCCCCUCUUGUAAUUCCUUCUUCUUAGGCACAAAUCUGUCUGCAUACUCCAUGGCACUACAUCUCACCCUUCGGAUAGUUUCAGUGAUCUCCGGCGCCAACUCUCCUUCCCUGAUCUUGUUCCUAAUGUUCCACCACUGCCACCAGAGUGUGAUGAUUAGCACUCUUUUAGUUUCAGAGAAAUCCCACAGGGCGUCCAGCAUGUCAUGCACACUGGUGAAUGCCUCCAACUUACUUCUUUCCUCCUCCAACCCCAGCUCCCUCCAAGCUUGCUUGACAUGCUUACAUUUUAUGAACAAGUGCGCCCCAUCUUCAUCAGCUCUACCACAGAAAAAGCAUUUUGACUGAUCUAGCUUGAGGCCCCUCCUCAUCAAGUUUGCACAUACAGCCAGCGAUUCAUGGCGCAUUCUCCAUACAAACAUCUGAAGCUUCCGAGGACACGGCACUUUCCAUAUCCUUUUCCAAGAUUGAUCGGUCACCGCAUCCAGAUUGCCCCCACGUGCUGAGCUCGCUCCCGGUGCCCCAUUCUGUUGUUGCUUGUGGAGUUCAACAUGCAGCUUAUAGGCGCUUUUUAGCGAGUGGUUACCUCUACUAUCAAAAUGCCAAGCAAUGAAAUCGUCUACACCUUGCCUUAGGGGAAUUUGCAGGAUCUGUCGGGCAUCUACUUCACAGAAAGUGUCUCGCACUAGUUCUUCAUCCCACCGUCCGGUUACCGGGCUUAUAAGCUCAUCGACCCUAGUCAGCAGGCUCGGCCCCCUUGGUGUAAUGACUCGCCUCGACCAGGCCCUUGGCAGCCACGGGUCAUUCCAAAUAUUCACUGAAACUCCAUCCCCAAUUCGCCAAAUAUAACCUUGCUUGACCAGAUCGAGCCCAUGUAAGAUGCUACGCCAAGCAUAUGAGAUGCCAUCAUGAGCUACUGCUUCGAGCGCAGUACUAUUCGUAAAGUACCGGGCCUUUAGGAUUCUAGCACACAAACUGUCUGGGUUUUGGAUCAAUCUCCAUCCCUGCCUCGAUGGCAUAGCUAUAUUGAAGCUGCGCAUCUCUCGGAACCCUAAACCUUUCCUCCUAGAGCGGCCAACAUGUACCGGGAGCCCGAGGUACUUCUCAUUCCAGUUUUCACUCCGUAUGUUAAGUGUGUUCUUGAUGCUAUCCUUAACUCCGUCCUCCGUAUUGGGACUAAACAUGAGGGCUGAUUUCUCUACAUUGAUACACUGGCCCGAACAUUCCUCAUACAGCUUGAGUAUGUCACGUAGUGCCUCGGCUUCCUGUUGCUUCGCUUUCAUCAAUAACAUGGAGUCGUCCGCAAAAAACAGAUGGGAUACACAUGGUGCUCUCGGGCAUUACCUUGAUCCCACUGAUCCUCCCUCUCUGCUCCGCAUCGUUGAGCAGGGCAGACAGACCCUCAGCACAUAUCACAAACAGGUAAGGUGAUGCCGGAUCCCCCUGGCGCAGUCCUCUCGAUGGGCAAAACUGAUGUGUCAACUCCCCGUUCACUUUAACCUGAUACCGGACUGUCCUGACACACUUCAUGAUUAGGUCAACCCACUCCCUCCUAAAACCCAUCCUGCACAUCAUCGCCUCGAGGAAGCACCAUUCUACCCGAUCGUAUGCUUUGCUCAUGUCAGCCUUCACCGCCGUGUACCCAUCCUUCCCUGACCUCUUAUUCAUGACAUAGUGAGAAAGCUCGUAUGCGAUUAGCACAUUAUCCGUUAUCAAUCUUCCCGGAACAAAUGUGCUUUGGUUGUCAGAAAUAAGCGAUGGAAGGAUCAUUUUCAGCCUAUUGGCUAUCACUUUAGAGACUAGCUUGUAGAGAACAUUGCAUAGACUGAUCGGCCGGAGAUCCUUUAUUCUCUGUGGGUUCUUUACCUUGGGGAUGAGGACCACAUGGGUAUCAUUCCACCCCUCGGGCAUGUCUCCUCCAUUAAGCACUCGCAGCACCUCCUCCACAAUCUGAUCCCCCAUGAAAUGCCAGUGUCUUUUGAACACAAUCGAUGGCAUGCCAUCCGGUCCCGGGGCCUUCAAGUCUCCAAUGUGAUCUAGUGCCGCUUUUACCUCCUCGCGAGUGAAAUCAGCCAAUAAGACAUUGUUCAUGGCCUCAGUAACCCAUGGCUGCACUUUUUCAAGUAGUUCCGGCAACCGUUGAGGAUUAGAUGAAGCUGAGAAUAGUUCCUGAAAAAACGAACAAACAUAGUUAGUCAUCUCCUCUCCUGCCUCCACCACCGACCCGUCCUCCUUCCUCAACUCCUUUAUUCUGUUUGUUUUCUUCCUUGCCGAGGCUACGGACUCCAGAUAUUUUAUGUUCCUAUUGUCAUCCUUUAGCCACCACAUAUGGGCCCUUUGUUUCAGCUGAGUAUGCUUCUUCUCCUCCAGCUCCUCAACUAGACACCGUAGCCUUGCUUCUUCAUUAAUUUUAUGCUCCGUCACUGCCGUCCUCAUGCAACCUUCUAGCUCCUUUUUCACCCUUUUUAACCUGCCUUCCAGCUCCCCGACUACAUCUUUGCUCCAUGUAGAGAUAUCUCCCGCCACCUUUUGAAGUGCAACAGCCACUGUAGCAUCCCCCAUUUCCCUGCUCCUCUCCCAGGCUGCACGUACAACCUCCUCACACCCUUCCUCCUGCAGCCACCGCGCUUCAAACCGAAAUCUCCCAUCCCCUCUCCUCCAUUCCUUAUCAGGGCCUUCCGUAUCAACAAUAAUUGGCCGAUGGUCUGAGUGUCUAGGAGGGCCAUUAACCACUGUAUAAGCCGGGAACUGCUCGCACCAUUCCUCAUUCGAGGUGGCCCUGUCCAAUCUCUCACAAAUAUAUGUUCUUAGUUCCUUACUAUGGUUCCUCCAAGUGAAAAUGUCCCCCUCGAAGCCAAUAUCACCCAGUUCGCAGAUUUGUAGUGCCUCCCUGAAGCCAUCCAGGUAGUGUUGUGGCCGGGCUGCCCCUCCUGCUUUCUCCAAACUUGUCAAGAUCUCGUUAAAGUCACCAAGGCAAAGCCAAGGCCUUCCACCCUGGUGUUGCUGUUUCAGGAGACGCAUCAUUCGCCAUGUCUCCUUCUUCCUGUCCAUCUCCGACUCGCCAUAAACUCUAGUAAGCCUCCAGACCAAUCCAUCAUCCCUCCUUACAUCAACGUCAAUGUGCCUUCUCCCGAACGAUCUCAACGUAACAUCCACCUCCUUUCUCCAAAACACUGCCACUCCUCUAGUUGUUUGAUUUACUCGUAGCAGUGAAAAGGGCAGAACUUUACCCACAGUUGUCCUGGGAAGACAUCCAAACUCAUCGGCUGAUCACUCACCUUGCUGCUCAAGUGGAGCCUAGGCCUCAUGACCCCAAUUGGUAUAAAUCUGAAACCUAUCAUAUAUAACUAUGCUCUGUUUUCGCCUUUUCUUGUCUGAGAGCCUUUUCUGCUCUUGUCACCCCGCAGGCGCAUGUUUGGACGAACAAGAAGACUCAACGAUUUUAACACUAUAACCGUUACUCUGGGAUAUUUUGGUCUGUUUGCCUACUGCGUGGCAACUAACAUGAGAGAAGAUGGCGCUACAAGCAAGAAUAGUGAAGCCAAUUUCGUCUCCGAGCCAGAGAACAAUAUGAACUAGCUUUAUAUCAGAAGUCUAGAUGGUCUAUGAUACGAACUACCCCCUCCGUUCCUAAACAAGUGUCGUUUCAAAUAUGAACUAGCUUUAUAUUAGAAGUCUAGAAAGUCUCCUGAGCAUAUGCAAUUAGUAAUAUGACAUCUAGUUGUCGUUGUAGGUUUUGCUGGAUGCUGGCAACGGUAAUGGAAUCAGCCUGAAGUUUGAGUGGUGGUGCAAGUCCUUUUAAAUUAACUUUUUAUGUGACGAAAGAGAACAGAAAAUCCAGCGAUAUCUUUAGGUAACUUGUCGUGUUUAUUUCUUGUGAGCAGAAAACCUCAGGGUGGUCCCUCUUGAACUAAGCUACCAAGCAUGUCUAUAUAUUGUCAUGCCUGUUUAUUAUAUGGAAACAUGUGAGCUUUGUUCAAAUGUUGAAACCUUCUGAAAUUUGAUUUCUCUGCUUGUUGUAUCAUCCUAAAUCCCUUCUGGUAUCUUAGUUGUUACGUGGAAUAAAACUUUUCCAUCACUAGAACAUAUUAACUCCAAAAUGUCGGUUAUCUUACAUGUAAUUGGCUAUAGAUCAAGUAUCAUCGAAUUCUUGCCAUGGUUUCUGCAGUCCAUCUUUGUGUGACAAGUCUUGCCUUCCAUGCCAGAUGAACAUUUUUUGCGAGCAGGUAUACUUCAUGCAGUCCUCCGGAGCGAUGUUAGCUUGGGAUGAAACAUCACACCACACAUAACUUUCGAUAAAAACAUAACUUCCAAAAUAUAACCACAGAAAUCACAAGAACAAAUAUAACCACGGAGCGAUGUUAGCUUGGGAUAAAGAAUUCAUAACUUCAGGUUAUCCUUUUGGCAAUAAGAGUCUUGCAAAACCCUUGGCAUCACAAGAACAAAUAUAGGUUGCAGGAAGACACUAAAAUAAAACAUAACCACUACGCAUGUAUAUUUCCUUCAGAAGUGCAUCAACAUAGCUAUGAACUAGAGGGUGUUAACUUCACUUCAUAUUUUGUCCAUGUUGGACACACCCCAAAGCUACAGAAUUUUAACUGAUAUCAAAAGUACAGACUUCACAUAAGACACCACUGCUUCCUUUUCUGGAAAUAGAUAAAUGGUAACAACAACAACUUCAGUCCCAAACAAGUUGGGGCUAGCUAGAGUUGAAACCCAUAAGAAAUCGAAAUCAAGUCAUGGUUCCGCCACGUGGAUAGCUUAGUAGAUAAAUGGUAAGCUAAAGGGUAAAAUUGCAUGAACAUAGCUGUAAGCAUAUAAGUUACUUAUGCCGUCAAAGAUGAAUGGGAUUUGAACAAUUGCUAUCAAAAGUACAGAUUUCGCAGACAGCACUACUGCUUCCUUUAUAUUGGACAAAAAGGGUGAUAGUACCCAGAACAGCUAGAGGACUAAACUAAAGGGACAAUUAUGCAAACUAGGACACCCCUUGAACUAGAACAUGCAACAAUGACAGUACAGAGAAGAAACUGGAAAUGACUCGUGCACAAUGCCCUUUCAGAAAAUAGAUUCACAACCAAUUGGAGAAAAUAUAACAUGCAACACCUCCGGCCAUCCAAUAUAUUUACAGUGAUUUUUCUGCAGUGAUGUUGUCGGUCCAGAAUUAAGUUUCGAGUGUACUUGCUCGAUACAGCGGGAACGGCAUCAAGUCAGCUUCUCAAGUUCUUAACAAUGCAUGUAUGCGUUAAGCAAUCGGCAGAACUUAGUGAACUUACAUUUUUUUUACCACUCAUAUUGAUCAAAUUGACCUGCACAACUAAAACCAAAAUGGUAGAUCGCAUGAAAGCUCGAGUGGAUAAAACUCAUGAGGUCAAUACUGAAAGUACAAAUUGGAGCAUAAUUCAGUACCACAGGUAGAAAUAUUUUGGCAAAGAUAAAGCAGGGUGUCCCAGCAAACCUACAAAGGAAAGAAAAUGUUGAAUGAUUGUAUUAUACAAGAAAAGUAACAAUUUAUAGAAGGAACAUUAAGCAAAUGUGUACCUUCACAUGGUUCUCUCUCUCCACUAAGUUGUGCAGGACUUCACAUGUGCGGGUGGUGACUGGUGACACUGAAAAAAAAUGUUGGGAUAACACAAACUAGUUCUAGCUCCCACCAACUGAUUACACAACAGAUAUAUGUGACUGGAACACAAAUACCUCGACAAUGAAUCAGACUGCAGAGCAGAGAACAUACAGAGAAGCAGUGAAAUAAAAAUCCAAACCUAGAGAACGGAACUAUGCAACUCAUAUAACUGAUUUUUUAGCCUCCAUUGUUUCUGUCCUAAAAAAUUAGAUAUUGUUCAAACAGCAGUGAGCAUGACAGACCAUAUGGUGUGCACCAGAACCUAGCUUAACUCAAUUGUGAAGCCAAGAAAAAAUUGAUGAAGUUCUAAAGGAGUGCAGCUUCAUAGUAGUAAAUAAUGUAGCCAGUACCAGAUUGAGCCAAGGACCUGGUAGGCUGCUAAGUCCAUCUCCCAGUCAAGUUCUAGAGUUUGAGACACAGAUGCAUAUGUUACACAUGAGCACAGUCCCAGUAGCCUCUAUUCUCAAAGCAUAAAUAACAAUAUGCAGCAAUGAAAUAUGCUCAACAUCUUCUGCCGUCUGAGACUGUCUAUCUAAGAAUGAUCAACAUUGUAGCAUCAUUUAUUUAUAGUAUGACAAUAGCAAUACAAUAGCAUUACAGACAGCCAAAACAGAGUAGAACCGGGUUCAGGACUGCAUUACGGCCAUUUCCAUUUCCCCAAUUUCCCAGUGGUUGGUUUAGGGUCCAGAGUACAGUUUUCAUUACAAUCACAAUCUAAGCCUGAUAGUAUCAUAUAAAAGGAUUCAACAAGUUAGCAAAAUAACAAUCAAAGUGUGGCAGAAAAACAACGUAGAGUGAGCAAGACACGACGCACAGAACCAACCGGAACAAUAGCAACAUGAUAGCAUUAGAACCGGAUUCAGGACUGCAUUACAGCCAUUUCCGUUUCCCCAAUCUCACACCGGUUGGUUUAGGGCCUAGAGUACAGCUUACCAUAAUCGCAAUCUUAGCCUGGGCUGCAAGAUUCCACAAGCUAGCAAGGCAACAACGAAAGAGAGGCAGUAAGAGAUAACUCGAGAGUGAACACUGCUGCUUAUUAUUAUUAUCAUGGUGACUUGAGGAUUUCAUCAGAGUACAACAAACUCAUGCAACAAAGAUUUGCAGCCAACGACAGUUUUAACCAACCAUACACGAUUAAGGCACAAGGAUCCGCAGAUGCUGCGAGCAAACAGGGUACAAACGCAUGGCAAUCGUGGUGGCGCCGGCGUCCCAUCCCGGUGGCGGGGGCGGGAUCCGGCGGCGCCUCUCCUACUACUUCUUGCCGUCCUUGCCCUUGGCGUCCGUGGAGGUGCUCCCGGAGGCCUGCGCCGCCUUCUUGGCGUUCUUCUCCUCCAGCGCCUUCUUGUCCCUGCGGAUCGGCG
rnacentral:lncRNA from 1 species